UACGGGGGGGGCAAGCGUUGUUCGGAAUUACUGGGCGUAAAGGGCGCGUAGGCGGUUCGCUAAGUUGAAUGUGAAAACUCUGGGCUUAACCCAGAGCCUGCAUCCAAAACUGGCGAACUGGAGUACUGGAGGGGAAAGCGGGAUUCCUGGUGUAGCGGUGAAAUGCGUAGAUAUCAGGAGGAACACCGGUGGCGAAGGCGGCUUUCUGGACAGUAACUGACGCUGAGACGCGAAAGCGUGGGGAGCGAACAGG
rnacentral:rRNA from 1 species